rnacentral:tRNA from 1 species
GAGGGUAUAGCUCAGUGGUAGAGGGCAUGCUUAGCAUGCACAAGGUCCUGAGUUCAAUCCCCAGUACCUCCA